AUACGUAGGGGGCGAGCGUUGUCCGGAAUGACUGGGCGUAAAGGGCGUGUAGGCGGCCGAUUAAGUCUGGAGUGAAAGUCCCGCUCUCAAGGUGGGAAUUGCUUUGGAGACUGGUUGGCUUGAGUGCGGAAGAGGUAAGUGGAAUUCCCAGUGUAGCGGUGAAAUGCGUAGAGAUUGGGAGGAACACCAGUGGCGAAGGCGGCUUACUGGACUGUAACUGACGCUGAGGCGCGAAAGUGUGGGGAGCAAACAGGAUUAGAUACCCUGGUAGUCCACACUGUAAACGAUGAAUGCUAGGUGUAGGGGGUAUCGACCCCUUCUGUGCCGCAUUCAACACAAUAAGCAUUCCGCCUGGGGAGUACGGCCGCAAGGUUGAAACUCAAAGGAAUUGACGGGG
rnacentral:rRNA from 1 species